rnacentral:rRNA from 1 species
UGGCGGCGUGCUAAUACAUGCAAGUCGAGCGAACGGACGAGAAGCUUGCUUCUCUGAUGUUAGCGGCGGACGGGUGAGUAACACGUGGAUAACCUACCUAUAAGACUGGGAUAACUUCGGGAAACCGGGAGCUAAUACCGGAUGAUAUUUUGAACCGCAUGGUUCAAAAGUGAAAGACGGUCUUACUGUCACUUAUAGAUGGAUCCGCGCUGCAUUAGCUAGUUGGUAAGGUAACGGCUUACCAAGGCAACGAUGCAUAGCCGACCUGAGAGGGUGAUCGGCCACACUGGAACUGAGACACGGUCCAGACUCCUACGGGAGGCAGCAGUAGGGAAUCUUCCGCAAUGGGCGAAAGCCUGACGGAGCAACGCCGCGUGAGUGAUGAAGGUCUUCGGAUCGUAAAACUCUGUUAUUAGGGAAGAACAUAUGUGUAAGUAACUGUGCACAUCUUGACGGUACCUAAUCCGAAAGCCACGGCUAACUACGUGCCAGCAGCCGCGGUAAUACGUAGGUGGCAAGCGUUAUCCGGAAUUAUUGGGCGUAAAGCGCGCGUAGGCGGUUUUUUAAGUCUGAUGUGAAAGCCCACGGCUCAACCGUGGAGGGUCAUUGGAAACUGGAAAACUUGAGUGCAGAAGAGGAAAGUGGAAUUCCAUGUGUAGCGGUGAAAUGCGCAGAGAUAUGGAGGAACACCAGUGGCGAAGGCGACUUUCUGGUCUGUAACUGACGCUGAUGUGCGAAAGCGUGGGGAUCAAACAGGAUUAGAUACCCUGGUAGUCCACGCCGUAAACGAUGAGUGCUAAGUGUUAGGGGGUUUCCGCCCCUUAGUGCUGCAGCUAACGCAUUAAGCACUCCGCCUGGGGAGUACGACCGC